CGCGUAGGCGGGAUGGCAAGUCGGUCGUGAAAUCCUUCGGCUCAACCGAAGAACGUCGAUCGAUACUGCUGUUCUUGAGGGUUGCAGAGGAGACUGGAAUUCCCGGUGUAGCGGUGAAAUGUGUAGAGAUCGGGAGGAACACCGGUGGCGAAGGCGGGUCUCUGGGCAAUUCCUGACGCUGAGGCGCGAAAGCGUGGGGAGCAAACGG
rnacentral:rRNA from 1 species